rnacentral:sRNA from 1 species
CGUCGCUGCCACCUCCCGCGGGAGAUGGCAGACCGGAGCCCACCGCUCCGGACCGAAUAACAGAUAAGCGCUGGCAGCACAUUUGGCGCCAGCCCAACAAGAAAAUUUCGGAUGUACGCGCAUCUCGGUUCGAGAUGUGAACUCCC